AUACAUGCAAGUCGAACGAACUCUGGUAUUGAUUGGUGCUUGCAUCAUGAUUUACAUUUGAGUGAGUGGCGAACUGGUGAGUAACACGUGGGAAACCUGCCCAGAAGCGGGGGAUAACACCUGGAAACAGAUGCUAAUACCGCAUAACAACUUGGACCGCAUGGUCCGAGCUUGAAAGAUGGCUUCGGCUAUCACUUUUGGAUGGUCCCGCGGCGUAUUAGCUAGAUGGUGGGGUAACGGCUCACCAUGGCAAUGAUACGUAGCCGACCUGAGAGGGUAAUCGGCCACAUUGGGACUGAGACACGGCCCAAACUCCUACGGGAGGCAGCAGUAGGGAAUCUUCCACAAUGGACGAAAGUCUGAUGGAGCAACGCCGCGUGAGUGAAGAAGGGUUUCGGCUCGUAAAACUCUGUUGUUAAAGAAGAACAUAUCUGAGAGUAACUGUUCAGGUAUUGACGGUAUUUAACCAGAAAGCCACGGCUAACUACGUGCCAGCAGCCGCGGUAAUACGUAGGUGGCAAGCGUUGUCCGGAUUUAUUGGGCGUAAAGCGAGCGCAGGCGGUUUUUUAAGUCUGAUGUGAAAGCCUUCGGCUCAACCGAAGAAGUGCAUCGGAAACUGGGAAACUUGAGUGCAGAAGAGGACAGUGGAACUCCAUGUGUAGCGGUGAAAUGCGUAGAUAUAUGGAAGAACACCAGUGGCGAAGGCGGCUGUCUGGUCUGUAACUGACGCUGAGGCUCGAAAGUAUGGGUAGCAAACAGGAUUAGAUACCCUGGUAGUCCAUACCGUAAACGAUGAAUGCUAAGUGUUGGAGGGUUUCCGCCCUUCAGUGCUGCAGCUAACGCAUUAAGCAUUCCGCCUGGGGAGUACGGCCGCAAGGCUGAAACUCAAAGGAAUUGACGGGGGCCCGCACAAGCGGUGGAGCAUGUGGUUUAAUUCGAAGCUACGCGAAGAACCUUACCAGGUCUUGACAUACUAUGCAAAUCUAAGAGAUUAGACGUUCCCUUCGGGGACAUGGAUACAGGUGGUGCAUGGUUGUCGUCAGCUCGUGUCGUGAGAUGUUGGGUUAAGUCCCGCAACGAGCGCAACCCUUAUUAUCAGUUGCCAGCAUUAAGUUGGGCACUCUGGUGAGACUGCCGGUGACAAACCGGAGGAAGGUGGGGAUGACGUCAAAUCAUCAUGCCCCUUAUGACCUGGGCUACACACGUGCUACAAUGGAUGGUACAACGAGUUGCGAACUCGCGAGAGUAAGCUAAUCUCUUAAAGCCAUUCUCAGUUCGGAUUGUAGGCUGCAACUCGCCUACAUGAAGUCGGAAUCGCUAGUAAUCGCGGAUCAGCAUGCCGCGGUGAAUACGUUCCCGGGCCUUGUACACACCGCCCGUCACACCAUGAGAGUUUGUAACACCCAAAGUCGGUGGGGUAACCUUUUAGGAACCAGCCGCCUAAGGUG
rnacentral:rRNA from 2 species